AAGCACUAUGGAUUAUUGCACUAGAUACAGUGCGUUUAAGCAGCCACUGUAAACUUAGCUUGUACUUUCAUUUUCAGAUAAAUGUUUGGAACCAUUCUUCUGAUGCAAUUUGGUGAGGCAUUGCUUCCACAUUCAGCCAUUCAAACACUUGCUUGUUCGUACGGUGCAAGUCACUCUCUAGCUGUAGGAGUGCUGUUUUUGAGCUAGACAGGAACAUCUGUGGUCUAACCCUUAACAGCAUUUU